UUCUGAACUCCUUGUACUUCUGUACCCUGAUUGCAGCGUGAGAAGCAUGAUGUCGACUCUUUGCUUAAGCUGUCGAACUGAUUUGUCAUGUGUUUACGAAGAUUUCACUGUGAUUUAACGCUCUGCACUGUCAGCUCGCCUUGGUACGCCACGGCAGUCCAGGCUGGUGUGGCCCUUGGGAAGACAGGACAGGGCUAACCUCUGACCUCUGACCCCCUCAGAGCGUCAGGCCAUGGGAAAAUGCAUUUCUGUUCAACACAGCCUGGACCCAGGAAGGGAAGACAAGGCAGCAGGGUCCUAUAACCCUGUGUAUUUUACUCCACUUGCACACUGAAAUCUGAUGUGAUACUGGAGCCUGACAGCCGAGAAGCUCAAUUGCUGAACUUGCAAAGAAAACACUUAUUACUUUACUGCAUUUCGUUGGCAGGUGCGUGGGUUGAGAAACAACUGAAAAAGCAUCCUUUCGGUUGCAUGUUUUGGUUUCUAUUAAACCAUUAGUUUUAAAAUAAGCACGGCAUGGCUUACUUAAAAAAAUGAAACGAUAUUUCAUAUUU